rnacentral:rRNA from 1 species
UCGGCCGUGAGUACAGCGGCGGACGGGUGAGUAAUGCAUGGAUAAUCUGCCUUUAGGACUGGGACAACCCUGGGAAACUAGGGCUAAUACCGGAUAAGACCACAGAAUCUGCGGAUUCAGCGGUCAAAGGUGGCUUUCGGGCUAUCACCUAGAGAUGAGUCCAUGUCCCAUCAGGUUGUUGGUGAGGUAACGGCCCACCAAGCCUAAGACGGGUAGCCGGCCUUAGCGGGUGAUCGGCCACACGGGGACUGAGACACGGCCCCGACUCCUACGGGAGGCAGCAGUGGGGAAUAUUGGACAAUGGGCGCAAGCCUGAUCCAGCAAUACCGCGUGAGGGAUGAAGGCCCUAGGGUCGUAAACCUCUGUCAGUUGGAACGAUGGGUUUGUAGGUUAAUACCCUGCAAACUUGACGGUACCUUCAAAGGAAGCCCCGGCUAACUCCGUGCCAGCAGCCGCGGUAAUACGGAGGGGGCAAGCGUU